rnacentral:rRNA from 1 species
AUUGAACGCUGGCGGCAUGCCUUACACAUGCAAGUCGAACGACGUUACGGGGGCAACUCCGUAGCGAGUGGCGAACGGGUGAGUAAUGCAUCGGAACGUGCCCUCUUGUGGGGGAUAACC